GUGGUGCCAUCGCGCACUGCGCACAUGUAUAAACCCCACAGGCGUAGACAACUCGAACAAUGUCUUAGGGAUUACGGGUUCGGCAUGGCGYAAGCCUUCGUCGGGCCCCUCCAUCCCGGGGUGUCCCGCAUCGGGCUGUGUUCGCUCCUCACGGAGUGUUCGCUUCCCGAGUGGGCAUCCCUCGAGUGCGUAGGAUGCGACCCGAAAGAUGGUGAACUAUGCCUGAUCAGGCCGAAGUCAGGGGAAACCCUGAUGGAGGGCCGAAGCAAUUCUGACGUGCAAAUCGAUUGUCAGAGUUGGGCAUAGGGGCGAAAGACCAAUC
rnacentral:rRNA from 1 species